AUAGAGACUCAGAGCUGCAUAUCAAUAAGCGGAGGAAAAGAAACUAACAAGGAUUCCCUAGUAACGGCGAGUGAAGCGGGAAGAGCUCAAAUUUGAAAUCUUCAAGGUUCUACCUUGACGAAUUGUAGUUUAAAGAAGUGUUUUCUGUUAGAUGAGUAGGCAAAAGUUCCUUGGAAUAGGGACAUCAUAGAGGGUGAGAAUCCCGUAUUUGACCAUUACUUCCAGCGUUGUGAUACACUUUCAAAGAGUCGGAUUGUUUGGGAAUGCAGUCCAAAAUGGGUGGUAAAUUUCAUCUAAAGCUAAAUAUUGGCGAGAGACCGAUAGCGAACAAGUACCGUGAGGGAAAGAUGAAAAGAACUUUGAAAAGAGAGUUAAACAGUACGUGAAAUUGUCAAAAGGGAAGCGUUUGACACCAGUGUUGUUUUUCCGAAAAUCAAUUAUAAAUGUUUUGUUUCUGAGGAGUGAUGACUUCAUCGGCUUCCUUCUCUCUUCACGAAACUUUUGUGAUGCACUUUUCGGUUAACAAGUCAACAUCAAUUUCUUUUGUUGUAAAAGAGUAUUCGGAAGGUGGCUUUCUUUUCGGAGAAAGUGUUUAUAGCCCUAUACUUCUACAAUCGGAGAGAUUGAGGUCUGCAGCGUAGAUCCUUCGGGGUUAGAUACACUUGUGCUAAGUUAUAGCUUUCAUAGACAACUUGUUGACUAUGAUUCAGUCAUUGUAGCUUACUCGCUUAUGCUAUUUUACCUACGCUUAGGAAUGUUGAAGUCAUCGUAUCGCG
rnacentral:rRNA from 1 species